GUCCGGAUGGCGUAGUGGUCAGCGCACGUGCCUAGUAAGCAGGAGGCCCAGGUUCGAAUCCUGGUCCGGCACA